AUCACACUCUACCUUGGCCUCACUUGAAUAAACAGAUUCGUCUGGUGUAAUCCUAGGAGCCGCUAGACAGAGACAAGUACGUUCAUCACUUGAAUGGGGCAAUGUCUGGAAGUUGGGGGAAAGGGAUGUUCUGCUGUUGGAUCAUACGGACAGCCUCUUCAGAAAGGUCAUCAGGAAACAUGAAGUUAAAUGUAGCAAAGAAUUGCUGUUUUCAACUCUCAAAAAU
rnacentral:lncRNA from 1 species